GAUGAAAACGUAGUGAAAUGCGAUAAGUAAUGUGAAUUGCAGAAUUCCGUGAAUCAUCGAAUCUUUGAACGCACAUUGCGCCCUCUGGUAUUCCGGGGGGCAUGCCUGUCCGAGCGUCAUUUGCAACCCUCAAGCCCGGCUUGUGUGAUGGGUGCCGUCCCCUACGGGACGCGCCCCGAAGGCAAUGGCGGCGUCGCGGUUAUCCGAUCAGCCAAAGUGUAUGGGGCUUUGUCACUCACUUUACGGCCCGGACCGGCGCCAGUCCGAAUCAAUCUUUUUUCUAAAGUUGACCUCGGAUCAGGUAGGGAUACCCGCUGAACUUAAGCAUAUCAAUAAGCGGAGGA
rnacentral:misc_RNA from 1 species